UGAACGCUGGCGGUAGGCCUAACACAUGCAAGUCGAACGGCAGCACAGAGGAGCUUGCUCCUUGGGUGGCGAGUGGCGGACGGGUGAGGAAUACAUCGGAAUCUACUUUUUCGUGGGGGAUAACGUAGGGAAACUUACGCUAAUACCGCAUACGACCUACGGGUGAAAGCAGGGGACCUUCGGGCCUUGCGCGAUUGAAUGAGCCGAUGUCGGAUUAGCUAGUUGGCGGGGUAAAGGCCCACCAAGGCGACGAUCCGUAGCUGGUCUGAGAGGAUGAUCAGCCACACUGGAACUGAGACACGGUCCAGACUCCUACGGGAGGCAGCAGUGGGGAAUAUUGGACAAUGGGCGCAAGCCUGAUCCAGCCAUACCGCGUGGGUGAAGAAGGCCUUCGGGUUGUAAAGCCCUUUUGUUGGGAAAGAAAUCCAGCCGGCUAAUAUCCUGGUUGGGAAGACGGACCCAAAGAAUAAGCACCGCAAUUUCG
rnacentral:rRNA from 1 species